rnacentral:rRNA from 1 species
AAGUCGAACGGCAGCNCGGGGCAACCUGGNGGCGAGUGGCGAACGGGUGAGUAAUAUAUCGGAACGUACCCUNGAGUGGGGGAUAACGUAGCGAAAGUUACGCUAAUACCGCAUACGAUCUAUGGAUGAAAGUGGGGGAUUCGCAAGAACCUCAUGCUCGUGGAGCGGCCGAUAUCUGAUUAGCUAGUUGGUAGGGUAAAAGCCUACCAAGGCAUCGAUCAGUAGCUGGUCUGAGAGGACGACCAGCCACACUGGAACUGAGACACGGUCCAGACUCCUACGGGAGGCAGCAGUGGGGAAUUUUGGACAAUGGGCGAAAGCCUGAUCCAGCAAUGCCGCGUGAGUGAAGAAGGCCUUCGGGUUGUAAAGCUCUUUUGUCAGGGAAGAAACGGUGGACUCUAAUACAGGCCACUAAUGACGGUACCUGAAGAAUAAGCACCGGCUAACUACGUGCCAGCAGCCGCGGUAAUACGUAGGGUGCAAGCGUUAAUCGGAAUUACUGGGCGUAAAGCGUGCGCAGGCGGUUUUGUAAGUCUGACGUGAAAUCCCCGGGCUCAACCUGGGAAUUGCGUUGGAGACUGCAAGGCUAGAGUUUGGCAGAGGGGGGUAGAAUUCCACGUGUAGCAGUGAAAUGCGUAGAUAUGUGGAGGAACACCGAUGGCGAAGGCAGCCCCCUGGGUCAAGACUGACGCUCAUGCACGAAAGCGUGGGGAGCAAACAGGAUUAGAUACCCUGGUAGUCCACGCCCUAAACGAUGUCUACUAGUUGUCGGGUCUUAAUUGACUUGGUAACGCAGCUAACGCG